rnacentral:lncRNA from 10 species
ACAAUCUAGAAAAAGCAAAACUCUGGGGACAGAAAAGGGCCCAGUGGUUGUCGGGGACCAGGAAUGAGGGGUGUGGUCAUCUACAAGGGCACAGGGGGAUUUUUUGGCAUGAUGGAACUGUUCUUUUUUUUUUUUUUUUUUUUUUUGAGAGGGAGUCUCGCUCUGUCACCCAGGCUGGAGUGCAGUGGCGCCAUCUUGGCUCACUGCAACCUCUGCCUCCCGGGUUCAAGCAAAAUUCUCCUGCCUCAGCCUCCCAAGUAGCUGGGACCUCAGGCACACACCAGCUAAUUUUUGUAUUUUUAUUAGAGACGGGGUUUCACCAUAUUGGCCAGGCUGAUCUCAAACUCCUGACCUCGUGAUCCGCCCAUCUUGGCCUCCCAAAGUGCUGGGAUUGCAGGCGUGAGCCACCACACCCAGAGAUGGAACUGUACUACAUCUUGAUUAUAGUGGUGGAUAUACAACUGCUUGUGUCUGUCAAAACUCACAGAACUUGGCCAGAUGCAGUGGCUCAUGCAUGUAAUCCCAACACUUUGGGAGGCUGAGGAGGGAGGAUCCCUUGAGCCUAGGAGUUCAAGACCAGCCUGGGCAACAUAGU